UACGUAGGGUGCGAGCGUUAAUCGGAAUUACUGGGCGUAAAGCGUGCGCAGGCGGCUUGCCAAGUCAGAUGUGAAAGCCCCGGGCUCAACCCGGGAACGGCGUUUGAAACUGGCAGGCUAGAGUUUGGCAGAGGGGGGUGGAAUUCCACGUGUAGCAGUGAAAUGCGUAGAGAUGUGGAGGAACACCGAUGGCGAAGGCAGCCCCCUGGGCCAAAACUGACGCUCAGGCACGAAAGCGUGGGGAGCAAACAGG
rnacentral:rRNA from 1 species